UUUCCAUAGGUGAACCUGCGGAAGGAUCAUUAUUGUAUAACCGAGGUGCGAGGGCUGUCGCUGACCCGAAAGGUCGUGCACGCCCGAGUGCCCUCACACACAUCCAUCUCACCCCUAUGUGCACCACCGCGUGGGUCCCCCUUUGGCUUGUUCGGAGGGGGGCUUACGUUUUCACACAAACUCUGUAUGCAGUGUAGAAUGUAUUUUUUGUUUUUGCGAUCACGCAAUCAAUACAACUUUCAACAACGGAUCUCUUGGCUCUC
rnacentral:misc_RNA from 1 species